AUGCUCAGUUUCCCACUUUCCCCCCUCCUCCCUCCCCAAUGGGAUGGGGCGGAGCCUAGAGAGCGCCUAACUCCGCGCGCGCUCCCGGUGGCUAAAGUCCCGGGAAUUUCCCAGCGGGGAGCCCUCCAAGUGGGAUCGCCUUGCAGAGGGGUGUGUGCGCGCGCGCAGAACGA
rnacentral:lncRNA from 1 species